rnacentral:rRNA from 1 species
UACAGAGGUGGCAAGCGUUGUUCGGAAUUACUGGGCGUAAAGGGCGCGUAGGCGGUACUUCAAGUCAGGCGUGAAAGCCCCGGGCUCAACCUGGGAACCGCGCUUGAGACUGGAGAACUAGAGUUCGGGAGAGGAUGGUGGAAUUCCCAGUGUAGAGGUGAAAUUCGUAGAUAUUGGGAAGAACACCGAUGGCGAAGGCAGCCAUCUGGACCGACACUGACGCUGAGGCGCGAAAGCGUGGGGAGCAAACAGG